CCUACGGGAGGCAGCAGUAGGGAAUCUUUCACAAUGGGCGAAAGCCUGAUGGAGCAACGCCGCGUGCAGGAUGAAGGCCUUCGGGUUGUACACUGCUUUUAUAAGCGAGAAAUAUGAUGGUAACUUAUGAAUAAGGAUCGGCUAACUACGUGCCAGCAGCCGCGGUCAUACGUAGGAUCCGAGCAUUAUCCGGAGUGACUGGGUGUAAAGAGUUGCGUAGGUGGCAUAAUAAGUAGCUAGUGAAAUCGGGUGGCUCAACCAUUCAGACUAUUAGCUAAACUGUUAAGCUCGAGACCGUUAGGGGUAACUGGAAUUUCUAGUGUAGGAGUGAAAUCCGUAGAUAUUAGAAGGAACACCAAGAGCGUAGGCAGGUUACUGGGACGGUUCUGACACUAAGGCACGAAAGCGUAGGGAGCAAACGGGAUUAGAUACCCGGGUAGUC
rnacentral:rRNA from 1 species